rnacentral:rRNA from 1 species
UACGUAGGGUGCAAGCGUUGUCCGGAAUUAUUGGGCGUAAAGAGCUCGUAGGUGGCUUGUCACGUCGGGUGUGAAAGCUUGGGGCUUAACUCCAGGUCUGCAUUCGAUACGGGCUGGCUAGAGGUAGGUAGGGGAGAACGGAAUUCCUGGUGUAGCGGUGAAAUGCGCAGAUAUCAGGAGGAACACCGGUGGCGAAGGCGGGUCUCUGGGCCGAUAUCGACGCUGAGGAGCGAAAGCGUGGGGAGCGAACAGG